rnacentral:lncRNA from 1 species
CACCAUGUGUCCACACUUAAGGUUUUCUUUCUCCUCUGUCCCAGUUUCAUUCCCAGAAGUGCUGCAAGUGUGAAAGGCACAGUGUGACACCAUAAGAGACUUACAUCUCUGCACAAACAAACACAGUCUGGGUGGCAGCAAUGAAGCAGAAGCUUCCCUAGGGCAUACACUAGGAUUAUCAACAAGGGAGGACUACUUCUGGAUUAAAGCUUUGGCCUGCUGUCAACUACGGCAAAACUCUCACUGAAGUCAGCAUAGCCAGGAUUUCACGUCUGUUGCAGCAAUUUUGACUCCCUGCCUGUUCUGCCUUGGGACUUCCAGCCAGCAUGAAAAGGGUCUUAACAGUGCCAGAAGUUUUUUAUUAUGAACUGCAGGCAGAAGUCCGGAAAUACUUCACAUAAACAACCAAAUACUCAUCAGCCAUUUAAGAAAUUUAAGACGCUGCCAAGCUCCAGGGGAUUCAAACCUGAAUACACAAAUGGUGCACUUGAAAAUAAUACCAUAAAGGCUCAUCAUUUUAAACAAUUAUUGAUUACACCCUGGGGAUUUUUCACCAAUUCCACUCGAUGCUGCUUUUAAAAUGUUCUUUGGCCUGUUAAUGAUUAAAGAUUUGGAUUUCACUCUUUACACUAAAUGUAAGUGUUAACAGGAAAAGAAAACCUAAGAAACACUCCCUCCUUACAAUCCAAAAAGGAAGAUAAAAUAUAAAGGCUAAAAUGAAUUUACUGGAAAUUUUGCAUAGCACAAAUACAAAAGCUAUUACUAAAACCCAUUUGUUCUACAGGAAACUAAAAGCAAAGGCUAUUUUCGUUAUUAUCCUGUCUUUAAGGCAGUGUGGUACACGGGGUCAGUCGAAGGUCGAGAAUGGAGGUUGCUGUUACUCUAUAAAAGGGCUCACACUUUAAAUAUAAGUAUCUCAGUGCUCAUGGCGCCUUUCAUUUCUACUGAUGUGGGACCUUGAACACCUACAUGCCUUAAAUACUUUGGUUUAUGCAUUUACUACUUCUUUAUUGUCAACAAAUUAAAAGGGAAUAGUUACAUUUGAUUUGCACUACAAAGGUCUUUUAACUGAUCCUGAAUUUAUACAGUAUAGAAUAUUCAAUACUUGCAUACAGAAUGCAGUGCACAGGAACAUGCAUUUAAACACACAACUUUGUGAUCUGAGUCAUAGUGACUCUAUUUGUCACUUCCUUUUUUUCUUCUUCUUCCUAAUUCCACACAUUAUUUUACUAAAAAUUCAAUAGUACAACUGCCUGGAAGAAUUUUUUUUCAGUCAAAAGCAAUAAACUACAUAACCUCUUGAGAUACAGAAGGGUUUAUAAUACAAGGAAACUUAAAAAUAUGUAGAAAGAAUUUAGGUUGGAAAUAAAAUGUCUUUUCAAGAUGAAAAGCAGAAAUAAGUGCUGAUAAUAGCACUGUGCAAAAUAGAAAUUUCAUAUUACAGAUCCAUGUAGGUGACUGAAAAAUGAGGACUGCAAUUCUUUUAAUCUUUAUGUGUAUUUAAAUAUAUAAAAGCCAAUUUUUCCUUUCUAUGGCAGAUUUUGAAGUACUUACAAAUGAAAGCAAAGAACUAAACUGCUGGUAUUAACCAUACAGAAAAAAAAAAUUAAGUCUGUAUACCUCCCAUGGUCCUUUAAAAAUCAUUAAUAAUUAUGCAUUUGCAUAAAGAUAAAGCAAGAAAACACACAAACAUAUAUCUUUUAGACAUCUGCAAGCUACUUAUCUUGAUCUGUUCCAUAAAUAGAAACUCAUUAUGGAGAGACUGAAACCAAGACAAUGCCCUAGAAAAUAAGAGGCAACCUUUUUAAAAUAUACUCGAAAUGGUGUGAGUAAAUCUGUAUCAUACAGAUUCAUAUUUAACACAUAGAUCUUUUUUGGUCUAAUCUUCCUCCUUUUACAAGCAACAGUUAAACUUCUACUAAUUCCAUUAAAAGCAGAAUGAGCCUUGAUGUAUUCUCUCUCCAGUAAAACUUCCUGUCCUGCAGAGUAUCAAUAUUAACUGUGAAUGGGAGAAUUAUAAAGGCUCUAGUGAAAAAAAGCAUUCAGGCCUCUAAAUUAAUGCCUGAGCUCUGACUUUUAAGUGAAGACAGAGAUCAGUAAGUCAGCUGCUGCUCAUAUUGCUUUCUCAUUCAUAAUUGAAAAACCAGAGACUUGGGGAGUACUUAGCAACCUAAUCCAUUCCUUCCCAGGAAUGUUAUAUAAGUUUUCUUUUAAUGUGAUUUUAUUCUCCUGCUUUCUUCUCCUGUUAGAACUAUAAUUUCAGAAGCAAGUUUGAUCCAAAGCUAAAUUUCAAACCCCAAAAUUGACACAAUACUAGGGGUCAGCAGUGAGGCUGAAAUUUCAAAUAUGCUGAGUCAAUCCUGCCCAGGUGGGUGUUAAGGCUCCUCAGUUUCAGAGUGUACCUCAGCUGCUGUAUUUGGACACUAACAUUCCCCACUGCAAAAGUGCAUGUCAAGCUGUUUCUCAGAGCAAAUAGCAACACUUUAUAUAUCAGCAAAAGGAGGCUGGCAAAGGACCAAACAGAAGACCCUUCAGCCAGUCAGAGCAGUAAAGCACCCUUAGAAGGACUGCAACAGACUCGAGUCAGCAAAAUUAUUUUCAUUCUGAGCUGGGACAAAGAGGUGGUUGGAUGGAUCCACGGAAGUCAGCCAAGUUAAAAGCUGCAUGCUGGAUUUCACAAAAUUAAGCACAACCAUGGCCUUUAUUUUUAGACACCUGUGCUAAAGGAAGGGAGAUUAAGAUGCCUGAAAUGAUUAUUCUUCACAGGCAGGGUCACUCAGAAAUCCGAUCUGUAUGAUUGCAGACACUUGUAAACAUUGAUUCACCAGGAUACAGCACUGAGCUAUAAUUCACAUUUUUUAGUGUUGCACAGCAACCCAGCAGUCAAAAACCGUGUCCCAUUAGAACACUGUACAAAGUGACAACUUGCGGUGCUGCUUUACAAAAAUCAUAAUGGGAAGAAAUACCUUUAGGAUUGCCUUAACUAUUAUCUGUCCACAGAAAAAGGCAAAAUACAUUAUUUUACAUACAAUUUUUUUCCAGCCAGUAGCAGCAGUAAGCAUUAUAUCCCUUUCUCCUACCCUUCACCUAAAAAGGGACUACUCCAAAUCCCUUCCAUUUUGUCAUAUACAUUUUCCGUGCCAAAAAUAAACUGAAGCUACUGAAUAUGUAACAACCUGCAAAAAAGCAUAGCCGAGGGUGGAAUAUACAACCCAGUGCACAUGUUCUGUUUGCUAUAUACUGCUACUCUGAAGUGUAGAAUAUUUGCACAAAAACAGGGAACCUUCAAUGGCAGCAAGAAGCAGCACUAGGAGCCUUGAUCAGCCCUAGGCUGUGCCUUCAGAGACUGAUUUCACACCAGCUGGACUUCAACCUAAAUAGCUUUUACCGGAGUUUCAAGCAAAUGACUCAGUCCUGACUGAGUGCAACACCACCAUCACUUUGCCCUACCUUAAAGCAAGGGUAAAAUGAACUGCCUUACAACUAAGUCUAAGUGGAUGCACUGGGCAUGGUAAAGGAGGAAUGCAGAUGAUCAUUUAAAGCUAAAGCUUAAAAUCAGAUCACAGAAAAUGCAUCUAAAUAGUUACACCAGCAAUUAUUUAAUUUCCAGCUAUUCAACACUAUGAGACCACAACCUGAAAAUUUAUUCUAUGACUCCUGAUUUGUAGAUAGAUUUCAGCUUUCCUUGGUUAACUGAUCAGGACAUGCUUUUCAUUCAUUCCUGGUUUUUAAACUUUAUUGUUAAUGCAGAAAAUCUGCAUAAUUCUGAAAGCUGAAAUUCAAAUAGAUGGAACUUAAUCUCAAAAUAGCAGGGCCUGCUGCAGUUUUUGGCAUUUUUCUAGUAUUUAAUUAACUAAAAACUUCAGAAUUAUAGUUCCCUGACAAAUGACUUCAUUACACAGUGAUUGUCUGUGGUGUUUCAUGUUCUUCCAAAAGGUUGAUUUCAAAAACAUACAAACCUUGGAGGGAAGGAGUGGCAAGAAGGAAACAAACUGAAACAACCUUACCUUACAUUACCAAAAGCAAAAUUCCCUCUUUGAAUUAAAUAGCACUCUGGAGGACAGAACAGAACAGUAAUCACAUAAAGCAACUUGUGUGAAUGAUGACUUGGAGAACCUGGCAAGGAAAAAGAGGAGACUCCUCAAGGCAGGAGAUGCAACACACCAACUACUUGCAUUAAUUCAAAGAAAAAAUGGAAAAUGUUGACAAUGUGUUCACAUAGCCUUUUGAAAUAUGGAAAAAUAAAUUGAAAGGAUUAAAUAGGAUUUAUCAGUCAUCAGAGGGAUAUGUCUUUUUCUUUCCUUCCUUUCCAACUUCUGCACCAUCAGGUUCAACAUUAUCAGUAGGGUAUUUUGUACCAUCUCAGUCAUAAACAGCAGUCCAGAUGCCACAAGCAUGGCAAAAGUUACUCGGCUGUGCCUGGUCUCUCUGCUACUGAAAAAUCUAUUGUAAUCAAGGUAUUAAAGAAUAAACCCAGUACAGGUUUCAUAAUGGCAACUAGAGGAGCUACACUAAAAUCGCCAUUAUGUAUGCAUAUGGUGGGGUCAGCCCUCUGCAGAGGGCCACAGGCCUGGCAUGAAGUUGCUCUUCAGCUUGCCAGGCAACAAAACUGCACUGCUCUUCAGCUCAAUAUAAAGGUGAUGCCUCCAUUGCAAAGAGGUGACAUUUCACUUGAGUAAAGUGUCCUAUCUCCUAGAAACAAACUGCAUUUCCUUGGUUUAUUUACACAAGUUCAGAGGAUA